AUUGAACGCUGGCGGCAUGCUUUACACAUGCAAGUCGAACGGUAACAGGGUGCUUGCACCGCUGACGAGUGGCGAACGGGUGAGUAAUGCGUCGGAACGUGCCGAGUAGUGGGGGAUAACGCAGCGAAAGUUGUGCUAAUACCGCAUACGUACUGAGGUAGAAAGUGGGGGACCUUCGGGCCUCACGCUAUUCGAGCGGCCGACGUCUGAUUAGCUAGUAGGUGAGGUAAAGGCUCACCAAGGCGACGAUCAGUAGCGGGUCUGAGAGGAUGAGCGCCCACACUGGGGCUGAGACACGGCCAAGACUCCUACGGGAGGCAGCAGUGGGGAAUUUUGGACAAUGGGCGCAAGCAUGAGCCAGCCAUGCCGCGUGUCUGAAGAAGGCCUUCGGGUUGUAAAGGACUUUUGUCCGGGAGCAAAUGCCUGGUGUUAAUAGCACUGGGAGCUGAGAGUACCGGAAGAAUAAGCACCGGCUAACUACGUGCCAGCCGCCGCGGUAAAAC
rnacentral:rRNA from 1 species